rnacentral:rRNA from 1 species
GUCUACAGGCAUGCCGCGCUAACCAAGCCCGAUUCCGUCUGAUCUCGGAAGCUAAGCAGGGUCGAGCCUGGUUAGUACUUGGAUGGGAGACUACCUAGGAAGACCAGGUGCUGUAGGCA